rnacentral:lncRNA from 1 species
UAUAUAUAGAGAGAGAGAGAGAGAGUCCGGCUACUAUAUAUGUUAUUAAUAGUAUGAAGCACUUGGUGCUAUUAAAUUUUUCGCCGUUAGAUCUAUCCUUUUGAUCAUUUUCAUCCGUUAGAUCAUACUAUUCAACCAACCACCCAGUCAAUCCUAAGGGGCCCACAUUAUCCUAACAACACAUCUCUUAAUUCAAUGGCAAAAAUUUGGUAGCACUAAUGACUUGGUGCUAUUAAUAGUAUAGUAGCCUAGUUCUAUAUAUAUAGAGAGAGAGAGUCCGGCUGGAGAACUAUCGAUCGCACCAAGGAUUUGGUGCUAUCGAGUUUUCCACCGUUAGAUUUAACCCUUUAAUUAUUUUUACCCGUUAGAUUAUACUAUUCAACCAAUUACUCACUCAACCCUAGGGGGCCCAUAUCAUCCUAACCACCAAUUUCUCAAUCCAAGGGCUAAAAAAUUAAUAGCACAAAUAGUUUGGUGCUAUUGAUAAUAUUCCAGCCAAGUUCUAUAUAUAUAUAGAGAGAGAGAGAUCUAGAAAGUUGUGUCAGAAUAUUAUUAAUAGUAUGUGAAUAAUAGGGUUUAUCUCUGUUUAAUCAAAAAAUAGUAUGUGAAUAGUAUUUACUAUAUAUUUACUGUUUUGACCAAUUGAAUGUCCAGAAUUUAGUGGAUAUUAGAAUAGUAAUAAUUUAAGAAUAAAAAAGUAGAUAGUAAUCAUUAUAUAUAUAUAUAUAUAUAUAUAUAUAUAUAUAUGUGUGUGUGUGUGUGUGUGUGUGUG